GAGACUCGUCGGCUGCGGCAGCGCGCGGCCUGCGGGCUGGGAGGCAGCGGCCAGGGCCAGUCCUGCGUGCACCCCACUGAUGCUCAGUUUCUCGCAUUUAGCUAAAACCCUGCUAGCAAUGGCCAACACUGAGUCGGCUCGGCAGUGUCAGGCUCUGGCCUAAGGGACGUAAUAAACCUUUGAUAACUCGGUGAGGUGGGCGCCAUCCUAUUUCACAGAUGGGGAAAGCGGAGCCGUCAGAGGCUAAGAAACUUUUCCAAAGACGUGUGGCCAGAGUCCCGACGCAGGCAGCCUGGCUCUUUUGUGUAGGGGUCGGGUUCCUGCUCCUGGCGUCCUGCUCCCGCCCCUUGGGGCUGGGCCUGGCCUGGGACACUCAGCGAAGCCUAAGAUUCCCAGUUUGUACAGUGAGGUAGUAGUGGUGCCCGCCUCCAGAGGACGCUCAAGAGGCGGCGCGCAGCACGUCGUCAUGAUAGCUUCCGCCAGGGUGUCGGGGUCGGGGGAUGGACCUGGUCGGGACCUCUGGCCCGCCUCCCGGCCCACCCGUCUCUUCCCGGAGCCGGGGGUCGUCAGCAUCCCCUGCAGCGGCGCGCAGAGCACUCAGCGCUCCUACCCGGAGCCGACUUCCACUCAGGCAUUCCUCCGUCCUCUCUCCUCCUCUUCCUCCUCAGCUUCCUUCACCUCUCUUCCUGCUCCUCCGUCGGCGCAGCGUGACCUGGAAGCGCAGCACUCAGAGUCGGCGGCCGCCUGGGGCCGGGGUGCCAGGGAGGGGCGAGCAGAGUGCACAGGAUUCCUAGCAGAGCGUGUCCCGGGCACAGAAGCUAGGCUGCCCGGCUCCAGGGGGCUAACGAGCGCUCUUCCGAGGCACAUGCGGCCGGGGCCGCCACAGGGCCCGCAGUCCUCGCAGUCCCCGAGAGCAGAUACCUGGGCCCCAACCCUUAACCAGGCCCGGGCUUCUCAUGCAGUGCAGCCACGGACCCUGAAACCAGCCGUUGACCCCGAAACCAGCCCCUGACCCCCCCUCCACCUCCCCCCAUGACCUUGGGCAAGUUGCUGAAUCUCCCUGUAUCUGUUUGCUCUUCUCUGAAAUGGGGUUGUGGGAGAACUAAAUAACUAAACCAGAGCCUUUACAACAGUGCCGUGCACACUGCUGGGAGCCCUCAGGCCAAGACUGAGAACUUUGCUUUCCUGCUGUUUGAAUCUGAGCCCAAUCAAUCCCUGAAGCCAGUUCUUCCCUAAAGAUCUGUUUUAAGGAAGUUACUGUGAAUGCACCGUCAAACAACGACUUGCCCAGGUGCAUUCCCUGAGACACGUGGGGACAAUGACACAAGGCUGUGUGGUGGCCCAGAAGCUGAACCCUUCUAUUUGCCUCCUCCCAGCUUAUUUACCUACUAGCCAGUCUCAGCAUGUCUUUUUCCGAUAAUGCCACUUGCUUUGCCCAACCCCCAUCCUUGGACCAAGGGCCACACGUUUGGCUGUACCUGUUCUGACAGAGCCUCCCUGAACUGCAGUGGGAUGUUGGACUCAGACCCUUAUUCUAAUAAGGAGAGCAAAUCUAUGCACAGUGGUCUUCUGGGUGACAAAUAGAGGCUUUGUGCAUGAGAGGCCUAGGCUUGGGGCUUUGGCUAGCGAGGACCCUCCUGAUCUCUGUCUUUUUUCCUCCAGGCCAGAUGGGAGAUCUCACGAGCUGGUCUAAGGAAAAGGAAGAUGGAAGCAAAACACAAGAAAACCUAGCAGACACCAGAGAGGAAAAUUGCAGGGUUUGAGGGUGAAGCAGACUUCAGUGUUGGGCUGCUCCUACCCCUGAGGCCAGGUGUUGGGGCAGGCUUCCCUACCGGGGUGUCCAGAACCUUCCCUGCAUCCCGGGCCUGGCACAGACGCCAGCACUGUGGAGUCAAGGAUGCUGAAGGGAUGAAUGACAGUGGCCACACACCUGCAGUAAGAAGAACCUUGUUGGAAGCAGGAUUUUUGCAGCUGUCUCAGAGCAUGCUCACAUGUUUGCUGUCAACCAUCUUUUGGGAGGGUUUCAUUGUUGUUUGUUUCUGUAUUUGCUGCUUUCUCCAGACCAGCAUCCCUUCACCCUUUCUGUGAAACCAGGUAGUUCAGAUGGGACUGAUUCCAACCCGGCUGGCUCCUGCCUGGCUAGUCAGAGCACUGCAUCCUCCUGGCAGUGCAUCCUCCUCCAGUGAUUAGAGAAGGCACAGACAUGUGACCCACACUGGACCAAUGAGAAUCAUCCCCAGGACCUUGGCUAGGGAUUGAGGAGGGGCUUACUGGUAGGAAUAUCAGCUUGGAGAUACCAGCAGAUGCCACAUGGAGGAUGAGGUCGGCAAAGAACAAAGCUGAGCUGAGCAAGGGAGAUAGAUUCUUGAGGACAGCAUGCAAACACCCAGAUCCAGCCGUGCCUGAGGGUAGAUACGUCCCUGGGCUGUCCAGACGCCUGUAUCCAAGAAUUUCUUUUUUCUCCUGGCAGUUUGAAUUGUGUUUCACUUGCCACUGAAAUCUUUCUGUCAUAUGACCCUCUGGUGGAGCCAAGACCGCAGCCACCAUUUCUGAAUGAGAAAGAAGUGUGAGCCUUUGGGGUGCUGGGUCACACUGGACCCAGUCUACAAGUGUCUCUCAUAGUCUCUGGCAGGGGCUCCUACCUCCUCUGUCUCUCUCCUGGCCUCCUGCUCUGGCCUUCCUGACUAGUGGGUCUAUGGCCACCCAGCCCACAGAUUACCUUGACUGUGUGUUCUCUGGGCUUGUGCCCUCUGGGUCUGUCUUGUCUAUAACUGUAUCCUCAGGACCUAGCAUAGAUGCUCUCAGCAAACAUUGGUGGAAAGAAUUAAUGGGUCAUCGAAGCUCCUGUGGCCUGCUGGGGUGUGGAGGUGGGGGUUUCAGUAAAUCAGGAGCCCCAGAGCUUCCUGUCUCCCACCAUGCCACCUGCCUUCGGCAUGCAUGGCAGCCUCUUGCCCCCACUGUUACUACCUUACCUGAGGCCUUACUCCAAACCCUCCACCAUUUCCCCACACUGUCUCAUGGAUGGCAAUAUGGCCAGUCUUGGGUAGUUGGUUGAGGGAUGAAUUUUCACUCUAACUCCCCGCCUUGGACCUCCCUGCCCCACUCCAAAGGCUCGGACACCCCAGAAACACUUCCAAGAACACACCCCGAGGGGCCAUGACUGCUCCCCACCAGCGCGCCAGAAGGGGCGAGAGAGAGUGUCCAGGAGGGGAGGGCUUGCUGCCGUACACAGGCUGCAUGCCUCCUGAAACGUGCAGCAGCACAUCUUCCCAGAGAAAAAGGGAGGCCCAGAAUUACAAGCUUUGUUAUUUUUACUUUUUGGUGUGAGGGGCCAUCUGUGCAGGUUUGAGCUUGUCUGGAGGAAACCACGAUUUGUAGAUGAAAUUCAAAAGUAGGAUUGCUUUGCAGGCUGUCACGCUGAGACUUUCUCCAGGAGCUGGGGCGGCAGUGCUGAUAUUUUUAUAGCAUCAGAGUGUGCCAGAGUCCAGCAGCUGCUCGGACUGAGUGAGCACAUGGGGCCCUCCAGCAGAGCAUCCACAAGCCCUCAGCAAUGGUCUUCUCAGCGUGGGCUCCACUGAGGGUGCCAGGAGGGGCCUGGGUCACCAGCUGUGAGAAUUGGCCCCCACUGCCUGGGAGGAGGGGUCCUGGAGGGUAGAAAGUCAGGUGCGGGGAGGAGGUUGGCAGUGCUGGAGCGUGGGAGCGGGAGCAGCUCUGGCCCCUCCAUUGUCACCAUCAGUUCCUCUCAAACUACCUCACCAAACAUGCAGUUGUGGACCCGUCCUCAGGAUAUGCCAAUGCCCCCACCUUCAGCUGCAGGUCACCCUUAAGCCCCCAGCGUGGAAAUUCCACAACUGCCUUGUCCAAGGAAACAUUGUUUAUCGCCUGCACGCUUUCCUUGGGCCUCUUUCCUGGGCCAGAUGCGCAGCAGCCCAUUACGGGGCAGCACAGGAAGGAGAAGGAGAGAAGGACACUGAGGUUUAUUACCCUGAAGACUGGAAACGCUUCGAGGCCAUUGCUCACAACUCCUCCCGGGUUCCAAGGUGAAAGGGUGACAACAGAGAAACAAAAGGAUGAAAUCAUUAGUGUCAAUUGGGCACAUUCAGCGUAGAAUACUGACGUACCAUUGUUGUGAGGAUAAAAGAAAUAUAAUUAAUAAAACCCACCCAGACUGCCUUUUGUGCUUCCUUUGAAUACUUUAUUGGCUUCUGCAUCUAUCUCAUCCACAGACGAGCCAUCUCUUUCCACUGCCCUGGACAUUGCUAAAAUGAACUGUGUAGAAAAUCACCCCCGGGAUCUGGAAACUCAUCUUGUUCAGUUAUAAUUUGUCUUCUCAUGCCUCAGUUUUCCCCAUUACAGAGGCAAAUUUAGAGCAUUUUCCAGUUGCAUAGAGCAGAGUUCCAUUCAAGAAAGAACAAAGCCCACCCCAAGGCUGAGGUUUCUGAGGGAGGCCUAAGGUCCCUCCCACUCAAGGCCAUGUUCAAGCCACCUGGCAGAGCCAGUAACUUUUCAGGCAUCAGCCUUUGGUUGGGGGUCCGUUUUCUGACAGCAGCCCUGGAAUCACACCUGCCCCACCUCUGGCCUUGACAUGCCCUAGCUGGGGGUCAAAGGUCACACUGAGAGUC